rnacentral:rRNA from 1 species
UACGAAGGGGGCUAGCGUUGCUCGGAUUGACUGGGCGUAAAGGGCGCGUAGGCGGUUCGUACAGUCAGACGUGAAAUUCCUGGGCUCAACCUGGGGGCUGCGUUUGAUACGUGCGGACUUGAGUGCGGAAGAGGGUCGUGGAAUUCCCAGUGUAGAGGUGAAAUUCGUAGAUAUCGGGAGGAACACCAGUGGCGAAGGCGACUACCUGGCCUGUUCUUGACGCUGAGGCGCGAAAGCGUGGGGAGCAAACGGGG